ACUCUGAGGAAGGGCAGAUUUGGAUCCAGAUGCAGACUUAACUUGGACCUAUGACCAGAUUCAUGAGAGUAUUAUUCAGCUAGCACCACGAAGGAAAAGGACAUGCUAUGAGACACAUAGAAGGAGAUAAAAAGGAAUCUAAGCACAGGUGUCCUGUGGUGUGAGCAUCCUCCUCCCUCUCCUGCCUCACCCGGGUCUUCAGAAAACAGCUUGGGAUCGGUCAUGGAAAGCUCACGCUAGCCCCGCAAGGUGCUGUGAUUGUCAAUGGGUGACUACAGCUGCUGAGAAAAGUCAGGAACCUGAUCAACAGCCCUGGGGGCUCAAGAAAG